rnacentral:rRNA from 1 species
GACCUGAUAUCAAACAAGAC